AACAGAAAAGGAGAGACAACUCUGUGUCUCCUGCAUUUAGAAGAAUAUUAAGGUAUAGCAAAAAUUAAUGGCCGAGAUAUCGUUUCGGUCGUCAUUUUUUUUUUAUUGGCGAUUUGAUUGUUGCUCAUCCACAU